rnacentral:miRNA from 1 species
UGAGGCAGGAGAAUUGCUUGAACCCAAGAGGUGGAGGUUGCAGUGAGCCAAGAUCACGCCACUGCACUCCAGCCUGGGUGACACAGCGAGACUCCAUCUC